GGAAAAUCCAGAGGCCUGACCCUGAGGGGUCGGGGGGAGAUGCGGGCCCGGAGUAGCGGGAAGCGACUGAGGAGCGGGGACUGGGCAGCAAUUGAAUGGAUGCGGGUGCCCCUGGCACCCGGGAAGACGCCCAGGGGCCGUCGCUGGGGAGUUGGACAUGGGCUGGGAUGUGUUUGGAUUCCAAUCUGGGCCUGACACCAGUUCUGUGACCUCGGGAAGUUCCCCAACCCUCCGGGCCUGUUUCCUCCCUCUGAAGUGGCGACAGUAAUAGAACCGACCUCGUAGGCUCAUCGGGAGGUCCUGAUGGGAGAACCCAUGCAACUUGCCACCACAGAGCCAGGCCCGCGGCGGUUGGCGCCUGGUGGGUAUUAAAGACGAGUCGGGAAAGAAGAGCAGAGUUGCCUACUGAGGAAGCUUUUCACAGCAUGAGACCUUCCGCAGGCUCAAUCAAACCUUCAAUGACUGUGGCCCCGAAAUACAUCUUGAUUGAAACCUCAUGAGAGACUCUGAGCCAGAAAACCCAGCAACUUAGAACCCAGAUAUCUGACCAUCAGCCACUGUGUGAAAUAAUAAAUGUUUGUUGUUUUAA
rnacentral:lncRNA from 1 species